UCUGAGGACCACCUGGUUCCAAAGGCUUCCAGAACCAGAGGGAGAAGACAUUGAAUUGGCUCAGCAGUUAGUACUUAAGAGCACAAAGCUGUUGUGCAUGGCUCACCCCAGGGGCACCUGGGUGCCUCAGUUGGUUAAGCGUCCGACUUCAGCUUAGGUCAUGAUCUCGCGGUUCUGUGGGUUCGAGCCCCGCGUGGGACACUGCUGACACCAUGAAGCCUGGAGCCUGCUUUGGAUUCUGUGUCUCCCUCUCUCUCUGCCCCUCCCCCACUCACGCUCGCUCGUUCUCUAUCUCUAAAAUUAAAAAAACAUAAACCAUGUUUUUAAACCAA